rnacentral:rRNA from 1 species
GAUGAACGCUGGCGGCGUGCCUAAUACAUGCAAGUCGAGCGAACAGACGAGGAGCUUGCUCCUCUGACGUUAGCGGCGGACGGGUGAGUAACACGUGGAUAACCUACCUAUAAGACUGGGAUAACUUCGGGAAACCGGAGCUAAUACCGGAUAAUAUAUUGAACCGCAUGGUUCAAUAGUGAAAGACGGUUUUGCUGUCACUUAUAGAUGGAUCCGCGCCGCAUUAGCUAGUUGGUAAGGUAACGGCUUACCAAGGCAACGAUGCGUAGCCGACCUGAGAGGUUGUUCGCCCACAUUGGAACGGAGAACGGGCCCAAAUUCCUAGGGGAGGCAGCAGAGGGAAUCUUCCGCAAUGGGCGAAAGCCUGACGGAGCAACGCCGCGUGAGUGAUGAAGGUCUUCGGAUCGUAAAACUCUGUUAUUAGGGAAGAACAAAUGUGUAAGUAACUAUGCACGUCUUGACGGUACCUAAUCAGAAAGCCACGGCUAACUACGUG